AAUGGAAUCGGGCUGAUUCAUCGCCGGUUUGCAGACAGAGCCGCGUCGGGUCUGCGCCGCUGCUGCUGUUGCCUCUGUCUUCGCGUCACCACAGAGGCAAGACAAGGGUCCAUAUCGCGGCAUCCGGCUCCCGCCCGUCUUCAGGAGAGAAAGAAAAAAUAAAAUAUACUUGGGGAAGUUGUACCUGCCAGAAUUAGCAAGAGCUUUCUUUAAGAAGACAUUUGUCAAACUCAACAAAUUGAAGGUUAACACCUUAAGAGUUGUAGUUACUGACCAGAAAUAUGGACAGACUUCUUAGACUUGGAGGAGGUAUGCCUGGACUGGGCCAGGUUAGUAUAUAGUCUCUUGAGCAUUUCCUUGUGUGUAAACUACAAGCCUUUUUGUAGUUAGCCAAAGAGAAAGAACUUAUCCCCAAGAAAAUCACCUAACAGAUAACUCUAUGGUAAGAAUCUUACCUUAUUGAUGUUUGUUAUCUUGC
rnacentral:sRNA from 1 species